GCAGAGAAGCAGCUAAACUCAAGAAGCUAGUCAAGGGCAGAACUCUGAAGUCUCGUAACUACAUGUGUCACAUGUACAGCCUCAUAAAUGAGUGAGUGGACCCCAACCAGGAGAGGACCCACAUGGGACUUUGCUGAUGAGAAGGAGCACAGAGUAGGUUGGCUGGGCAAAGGAGAGGGAAGACUGAGCCCAUGGAAAGCAAUCACCACAUCUGCACCAGUACCCUCUGAUACAAUGGACUGAGCAGGACACAGCAUCAUUUUCCUGUAUUCUUGCAAAAAAAAAAUAACCUCAGAAACAAGUCAGACAAGACCACAUUGAAGAACAUUCUACAAAAUAACUGACCUUCAAAGUUCUCAAAGUUAUGAAAAACUGGAGGAACAGUAACAUAAAUAGAAACUAGGAAAUAGGACAGCUAAAUGCAGUGCGAGAACCUGGAUUGAAUCCUGGAUCAGAAAAAAGACAGUAGUGCGGAAACUGACAAAAUUCAAGUAAGGUCUGUAAAUUAGGUGAUUGUGCCAAUUUUAAUUUCCUGCUUUCAAGAACUUGACUAUGGUUAUGUAUGAUGUAUAUAACCAGAGGAAGCUGGGUAAAGUAAGGUAUAUAAGGAAUUCUCUGUACUAUCUGGCACUUUUGUCUAAAGUUAUUUCCAAAUAAAAAGUUACCUGUAAUGUUAAACUAAACAUCUGACACAAAGGAAGCCACCCUUGUUGCUCCCAAUAAUCAGCCACCACCAACUCUGCACUUAAAGUGUAAAAAGAAAAAAAAUACCUCCUGGGACACCCAACGAUGGUUUUCAUUUGUAACUAAAAUAAAAUUAAACACUUCUGCCAUGUGAUCACAUUUGGCUUCGGGUUUAGUUUCAAAGAAACUUCAGCCUCUGUUCUUUGGAAGCCAAGAGACAGGUUGAAAUGAACAAUAACAACAACAACAACAAAAGUCAAGCUAAAUUUGA